rnacentral:rRNA from 1 species
AUUGAACGCUGGCGGAAUGCUUUACACAUGCAAGUCGAACGGUAGAGGGGGCAACCCCUCGAGAGUGGCGAACGGGUGAGUAAUAUAUCGGAACGUGCCCAGUCGUGGGGGAUAACGUAGCGAAGGUUACGCUAAUACCGCAUACGAUCUAAGGAUGAAAGCGGGGGAUCGCAAGACCACGCGCGAUUGGAGCGGCCGAUAUCAGAUUAGGUAGUUGGUGGGGUAAAGGCUCACCAGGCCAACGAUCUGUAGCUGGUCUGAGAGGACGACCAGCCACACUGGAACUGAGACACGGUCCAGACUUCUACGGGAGGCAGCAGUGGGGAAUUUUGGACAAUGGACGCAAGUCUGAUCCAGCCAUUCCGCGUGCAGGAUGAAGGCCCUCGGGUUGUAAACUGCUUUUGUACGGAACGAAAAGGCUCUGGUUAAUACCUGGGGCUCAUGACGGUACCGUAAGAAUAAGCACCGGCUAACUACGUGCCAGCCGCCGCAGUAA